rnacentral:rRNA from 1 species
AGAACUUAGCAGAGAUGCUUUGGUGCCUUCGGGAACUCUGAGACAGGUGCUGUAUGGCUGUCGUCAGCUCGUGUUGUGAAAUGUUGGGUUAAGUCCCGCAACGAGCGCAACCCUUAUCCUUUGUUGCCAGCGAUUCGGUCGGGAACUCAAAGGAGACUGCCAGUGAUAAACUGGAGGAAGGUGGGGAUGACGUCAAGUCAUCAUGGCCCUUACGAGUAGGGCUACACACGUGCUACAAUGGCGCAUACAAAGAGAAGCGACCUCGCGAGAGCAAGCGGACCUCAUAAAGUGCGUCGUAGUCCGGAUUGGAGUCUGCAACUCGACUCCAUGAAGUCGGAAUCGCUAGUAAUCGUAGAUCAGAAUGCUACGGUGAAUACGUUCCCGGGCCUUGUACACACCGCCCGUCACACCAUGGGAGUGGGUUGCAAAAGAAGUAGGUAGCUUAACUUUCGGGAGGGCGCUUACCACUUUGUGAUUCAUGACUGGGGUGAAGUCGUAACAAGGUAGGCGUAGUGCU